rnacentral:sRNA from 1 species
GACCCAAGCCGGGAAGCACCUUGGGCGGACGAGCCGCGCGUCCCGCAGCCAUGGAGCAGGACGACCCGGCCGAGGCGCUGACGGAGCUGCGCGAGCGGCGGCUGGGCGCGCUGGAGCUGCUGCAAGCGGCGGCCGGCUCGGGCUUGGCAGCCUACGCGGUGUGGGCGCUGCUGCUCCAGCCCGGCUUCCGGCGCGUGCCGCUGCGGCUGCAGGUGCCCUACGUCGGCGCGAGCGCGCGGCAGGUGGAGCACGUGUUGUCGCUGCUGCGAGGCCGCCCCGGAAAAACGGUGGAUCUGGGCUCUGGCGACGGCAGGAUCGUGCUGGCGGCCCACAGGUGCGGCCUCCGCCCGGCCGUGGGCUACGAAUUGAACCCCUGGCUGGUGGCGCUGGCGCGGCUGCACGCCUGGAGGGCCGGCUGUGCCGGCAGCGUCUGCUAUCGCCGCAAAGAUCUCUGGAAGGUAACCUGGGGCUCUCUGGCCACCCGCUGACAACAACCCAAGGUGCGGCUGACACCUGCGAGGGCUGGGGGCCGGGACUCGGAAGCUGCGAUGACCCGGUGCCCACCAGGCCUCUCCCCUGCUGGGGCGACUUCUCUUCCGGCAGCUCCCGCUGCUGGAGGACAAGCUGCGGGCAGAGCUGCCUGCCGGGGCCCGCGUGGUGUCUGGGCGCUUCCCGCUGCCCACCUGGCAGCCUGUGGCCGUGGUUGGCGAGGGCCUGGACCGAGUAUGGGCCUACGAUGUUCCUGAGGGUGGGCAGGCUGGGGAGGCCAUCUCCUCGUGGAUACCCAUCCAGGCUGCCCUCGG